rnacentral:misc_RNA from 1 species
AUGGUAACGAAUGAGCAGAUUAAGUAGGCUGGCUUUUGUGAUGUCAUGCCGGAUUGACUGGAAAUGGUUAGUCCGUGCUCAGAUUUGUUUGGAGCAACACAUACAUUUUUUCGAAAUUAAAGCCUAAAUAGUAGAAAAAAAGUCUCUGUCUCUGUUCCUCAAUCCGGAAUAAGAAUCGUCGAAACGCAAUAAUAUAUUUGUGAAUCAUUAAAUAUGCAAAUCGUCAUUCUACAAAGGCACAUUAGCUAUAUAAUAAUAUUGAAGCUAGAUGACGCCCGUAAAACUAAAGAAGAACUAGAAGUAGUCAGGAAAUCAUCAUAACCAUACCAGUAUAUAUGUAUGUACAUAUGUACAUAUUUAUGCAUGUAUAUUAUUCAAGUAACAAUCCAGAUACUCACGAGUAAUUAUAAUUACUAAAAAUAAUCCAAAAAGUGUACCCCAAACAUCCCCCACCCGCACAGUCUAAGAAGGAAAAGGAUAUUUUAGGUAAAAAAAAUGUGUGGCCUUAAUGUGAUACUGCCCGAAGACGUCGCCAAAAUAGCUAAAGGCGCGUAAUUGACUGAUUGACUUCAUUUUAACGAGAUUAAACAGCAAGUUCUCGAAACUGACGUCUAGACCGUGAGGAAAAUCCCUUUGGUUCCCAACCGAGUCAGUGCAACUGGGAAGCUUUUUAAAAGUUGCAGUUCUCCGGAAAUUACGCAUUUUAGAUUUAAAGCAAAUUUAAUUUCAUUUGAACGCGCAAUUAAAUGAAAAGUGGAGGUCAGCGACAGGGGCAACGACAGGCGACGGAGAACCUGAAGUCUAAAACGUUUAAGCUACUUAGAGUCACUUUGCUUUCCAGUGGCAUUAAACACAAAUAAAUAGUUACAAAGUGCAGUCGUGUAGAUGAAGAUGCGGUCACCGUCGAGACACCGUCAGACAUAGCAGACCCAAACUCCUCAGAGUAAAGCCACCGGCAAAGAGACUGGAAAUUGCAGCAGUGUUCACACCUUGCGGCACGUAGUCGCUGCCUUAGCGCCACUUCAUUUGACCUGUCACUUUAAACGCCUUUAAAUAUGCGAUGGAGUAACAGUAAAGUUGACUAGCUUGCA